rnacentral:rRNA from 1 species
AUUGAACGCUGGCGGCAGGCCUAACACAUGCAAGUCGAACGAGUGGCGGACGGGUGAGUAAUGUCUGGGAAACUGCCUGAUGGAGGGGGAUAACUACUGGAAACGGUAGCUAAUACCGCAUACCCUCGGAUGUGCCCAGAUGGGAUUAGCUAGUAGGUGGGGUAACGGGUCACCUAGGCGACGAUCCCUAGCUGGUCUGAGAGGAUGACCAGCCACACGGGAACUGCAACACGGACCAGACACCUACGGGAGGCAGCAGUGGGGAAAAUUGCACAUUGGGCGCAAGCCUGAUGCAGCCAUGCCGCGUAUAUGAAGAAGGCCUUCGGGUUGUAAAGUACUUUCAGCGGGGAGGCGUUACCCGCAGAAGAAGCACCGGCUAACUCCGUGCCAGCAGCCGCGGUAAUAC